UACGUAGGGUGCGAGCGUUAAUCGGAAUUACUGGGCGUAAAGCGUGCGCAGGCGGUUCGUUAAGUUCGUCGUGAAAGCCCCGGGCUCAACCUGGGAAUGGCGAUGGAAACUGGCGGGCUGGAGUGCGGCAGAGGGGGGUGGAAUUCCACGUGUAGCAGUGAAAUGCGUAGAGAUGUGGAGGAACACCGAUGGCGAAGGCAGCCUCCUGGGCCAAUACUGACGCUCAUGCACGAAAGCGUGGGGAGCAAACAGG
rnacentral:rRNA from 1 species